GGGGACGUUUUGGAUUUGACAGGAUGUUUCGGUUGGAGCAGGCUGCGUGUCCGUGCGCUGUUCACGGUUAUCAACGAGCAAACUAAAUUAAAUGCUAAAAAUAAUGUAAUCGAAGCUAACUUCGCUCCUGCAUAUGCAGUAGCUGCUUAGUUUCUAACUAGCUACUCAUAAGGCCCAGCUUGCCGGUUUUAUGGGUCCAUUAUGCAAGCGCAGUGCAUUGAUGAUGGUAGGUGCAUCCAGUUAACCAUCAAGGGUUUAGAGUUUCCCUAUCAAAAACCUAGGGUUAGUUUAAGGGUUUUGGAAUUUUCCUGAGCUAAUCGAGAGAAUAAAUUCCUACACACGUAGAUGUCGGUUACAAUCCAUUUUGGACAGGGGUUCGACUCCCCUCGUCUCCA
rnacentral:tmRNA from 1 species